AUUGGUGGUCGUGUAAGCUUUGCUUUCUCAAGAGCAGAUUGUUCCACAGGUUAUGUUCUUUCCCAUUGCCUAUACUUACAGUUUCAAUGUUUUGCCAUCAUAUCUAAAGCUUGCACAAUAAUUUGCAGGACAGGCAACUUAGAGACAAAGCAUGAGAUGUGAUGAUCUGAAUAUAUGGCAGUAUGCAUCACAUGAUGUGGAGGACGGGGGUCAUCCUCCUUGAAGAACAAAUGAUGCUCUCAAUGCAGAGCAACAUUGGGGGUAGAAGAGCAGUUACUUUCUCAGCUACAGAGAAGCAUCAAAGUAGUACUACUUCCUUUGUUUCUCAAGCACCAAGCGAUCCUGAUACAACAAAAGAAAAAAGAUUCUCUCUAGCACUAGCGAAAGAGAAAAACACACACACUGUACAUGCUCUUGUUGGGCCUCACAACAUUAGAAUUCACGG
rnacentral:lncRNA from 1 species